rnacentral:rRNA from 1 species
CAAUUCGUUGAUAACACCCCCCUCUGUGAACACGUUACCCUGUUGCUUCCCGUGGGCCCGCCUCCCCUGGGGGGCGGAACCCGCCCGCGGGGAGGUCCGCAACUGAAACCCCUUUUGUUUUUGUCAUGCCGUCUCUAGUCUGAAUCGAAAAACCAGAAACGUUAAAACUUUCAACAACGGAUCUCUUGGUUCUCGCAUCGAUGAAGAACGCAGCGAAAUGCGAUAAGUAGUGUGAAUUGCAGAAUUCAGUGAAUCAUCGAAUCUUUGAACGCACAUUGCGCCUCCUGGUAUUCCGGGAGGCAUGCCUGUUCGAGCGUCAUUAAAACCCACUCAGGUCCCCUUUGGGGGUUCUGGUCGUGGAGGAGCAGCCGCGAGGCGAGCCCCUCCGAAAUCCAUCGUGCGGAAAGCCCCCGGUGGCCCAGGCGUAGUAAAACUUCUUUCUCUCGUCUGGCGUCCGUCGAGCGUUCCUGCCGUCAACCCCCCCACAGUCUUCUU